rnacentral:rRNA from 1 species
CCUACGGGUGGCAGCAGUGGGGAAUAUUGGACAAUGGGCGAAAGCCUGAUCCAGCCAUGCCGCGUGUGUGAAGAAGGCCUUCGGGUUGUAAAGCACUUUCAGUGGGGAAGAAAGCCUUGGGGCUAAUACCCUCGAGGAAGGACAUCACCCACAGAAGAAGCACCGGCUAACUCCGUGCCAGCAGCCGCGGUAAUACGGAGGGUGCGAGCGUUAAUCGGAAUUACUGGGCGUAAAGCGCGCGUAGGCGGUCUGAUAAGCCGGUUGUGAAAGCCCCGGGCUCAACCUGGGAACGGCAUCCGGAACUGUCAGGCUAGAGUGCAGGAGAGGAAGGUAGAAUUCCCGGUGUAGCGGUGAAAUGCGUAGAGAUCGGGAGGAAUACCAGUGGCGAAGGCGGCCUUCUGGACUGACACUGACGCUGAGGUGCGAAAGCGGGGGUAGCAAACAGGAUUAGAUCCCCCUGUAGUC